GGCUUACACUUGAUCGCUGAACUUCAGGUAAGUUGAUGUCGAUAAUAUAUUUUGCUGAUGCC
rnacentral:snoRNA from 1 species